rnacentral:lncRNA from 7 species
GUUCUUAAUAGGCUGUGUAGGACAUGAUUAAGUUUUUCAAAUCCCUUGUUGGGUUGAGGAUAACAUACUAACGAAUGUACAUGCUCCUCAGAGGAGAACAAUGAAGCCAUCCGAGUUCUCAAUGUGAGAUUACAGUAAACUAACCAGCACCUUUGAAGCCUUCUGUUGCACCUUUGGAGCUUGGCGUCUUCACCAAAGAAGUGGGAAAUGUUUUCCAACUGAUCCUGCAAAUCCCACAUUCUCCUGUCUAGGUCCCUCUGGAUGGCAUCUGGUCUCUCGUCUGCAUUGACUGCACUCCUCAGCUUGGUGUCAUCCACAGACUUUCUGAGAGUGCACUUGACCCCACUGUCAAUGUCAUUGAUGAAGAUAUUAAAGAGUAUCAAUCCCAGCACUGACCCACUCAUCACUGAGCUUCAUCCAGAUAUUAACCUACUGACCACCUGUAGAAAUUCCAGACUGAAUUUUCAAGAGUCAGCAUACCAGGCUGUGAUGGUGUUUGCAAGUCACAUUGCUUAGGGAACUACCAUGGAAUAGAUUAUCCAGCACAUUCCAUCCCCGAAGUGUUACCUUCUCUUAAGAAAUGGACAUUUCAAUCUUGAUUUCAUCCUGCUACGUUACUGAAGUAAACAAAGAGAAAUCGGACUUCUAAACACUAUAUUCUGUACUACCUUGUUGCCUUGGGGUGUUUGUUUUUUUUCUUGUAAACAUGUCUGCAGCUUAUUCUCUCUCUGUGUACCUCUGGUCUGUAAUAAAAAUGAAAAUAAAUAUAAUAUGAGCAC